GAUGAAGAACUUAGCGAAAUGCGAUAAGUAAUGUGAAUUGCAGAAUUCAGUGAAUCAUCGAAUCUUUGAACGCACAUUGCGCCCGUCAGUAUUCUGGCGGGCAUGCCUGUUCGAGCGUCAUUACGCCCCUCAAGUCCCCUGUGGACUUGGUGUUGGGGAUCGGCGAGGCUGGUUUUCCAGCACAGCCGUCCCUUAAAUUAAUUGGCGGUCUCGCCGUGGCCCUCCUCUGCGCAGUAGUAAAACACUCGCAACAGGAGCCCGGCGCGGUCCACUGCCGUAAAACCCCCCAACUUUUUAUAGUUGACCUCGAAUCAGGUAGGACUACCCGCUGAACUUAAGCAUAUCAAUAAGCGGAGGA
rnacentral:misc_RNA from 1 species